UUUGAAAAGACCCUGAUAUUGGGAAAGAUUGAAGGCAGGAGGAGAAGGAGACAACAGAGGAUGAGAUGGUUAGAUGCCAUCACCAUUCAUAUCAAGCCCUAUUCAGGAAUAGAGAUGCAGAGUAGAGAAUGGACUUGUGGACACAGUGGGAGAAGGAGAGUGUGCUACAAAUUGAAACAGAAAUCCUCCAGACCCAAACGGGAGCAGAGAGGUCUCAUGGACACACCAGUAUAGACUCUCCUAAGGGCUGCACGUUGAGAGCUCCAGGAGAAGACACCAGCUACACAGGGAGGGCUGCUGCUGCAGACGCAGAAACCACUGCCCCUGAGCCGGCUUCCUCGGAGAUGGGGACUAAUGACAAGUGGUCUGGGUCCUAGACUCCGGGACACACCCUCCGCCGCAGGCUGGAUCCGAGCUUAGAACCUCGAGUUUGCCGGUCAGGUGCUCACCAAUGGGGAAUGGGCUGCAGACAGGGAGUGUGGGGAUGGUGAGCUCGCCAGCCCGUCCAUGGGGGACACUCGUGCCGUCAGUUCUGGAGGCCCCAACGGGCUGCUCUGCCCUCCUGCCAGCCCCGUCCUGGGGGCCCUGCGGAGAAGCAGUGGUAAGCCCCCUACCCCCCACA